rnacentral:rRNA from 1 species
CAAUAGCGUAUAUUAAAGUUGUUGCAGUUAAAAGCUCGUAGUUGGAUUUCGGAGUGGGCCAGUUGGUCCGCCGCAAGGUGUGUUACUGACUGGUUUGCUCUUCUUCGCAAAGACUGCGUGUGCCCUUAAAUGAGUGUGCGUAGGAUUUACGACGUUUACUUUGAAAAAUUAGAGUGUUCAAAAGCAGGCUAUUGCUUGAAUACAUGAGCAUGGAAUAAUGGAAUAGGACUUUGGUCCCAUUUGUGUUUCUAUGGGCCGAAGUAAUGAUUAAGAGGACAAUGGGGCAUCGGUAUUCGUGUCAGAGGUGAAAAUUCUUGGAUUUACGAAAAGACGAAACAAACUGCGAAAAGCACUUGCCAAAGAGUGUUUUCAUUAAU